CUGCCUAUAACCUAGGAGGAUAGCCCGGAGAAAUUCGGAUUAAUACUCCAUAACAUAGUGGUGUGGCAUCACAUUAUUAUUAAAGCUCCGGCGGUUAUAGAUGAGUAUGCGGAUGAUUAGCUAGUUGGUGAGGUAAUGGCUCACCAAGGCUACGAUCAAUAGGGGUACUGAGAGGUUAAACCCCCACACUGGUACUGAGACACGGACCAG
rnacentral:rRNA from 1 species